rnacentral:lncRNA from 1 species
AGAUUUCUUCCUGUUUUUGCAAUCUCUUAGAGGAUUGCCUGUCAUAUGCCUCACAUUCUGAUUUAAUGCUAAUUCAAUAAUAAAAUUCCCUUUUUUUUUCUCCUUCCUUUGUGAAUAGAUAUUCUGGACUGGCAGAUUUUAUUUUAAAUUAUAUUUCCCAAACAUUUCUGGCAAUAAGAAUGGGAUAUCUGGAAAUUUCAGAAUCAGCAGACAACUGAAGUUCUGUGGUCACACAGUAAGAUUACACCACCUCAUCUCUGGAGGUACUGAGAAGCACUUGGGCCACAAGAGGAAACAGCGUGCCU